rnacentral:rRNA from 1 species
GUGGGGAAUAUUGCGCAAUGGGCGGAAGCCUGACGCAGCGACGCCGCGUGGGGGAUGACGGCCUUCGGGUUGUAAACCUCUUUCAGCAGGGACGAAGCCGCGAGGUGACGGUACCUGCAGAAGAAGCACCGGCCAACUACGUGCCAGCAGCCGCGGUAAUACGUAGGGUGCAAGCGUUGUCCGGAAUUAUUGGGCGUAAAGAGCUCGUAGGCGGUUGGUCGCGUCGGCUGUGAAAACCCGGAGCUCAACUCCGGGCCUGCAGUCGAUACGGGCCGACUGGAGUGUUGCAGGGGAGACUGGAAUUCCUGGUGUAGCGGUGAAAUGCGCAGAUAUCAGGAGGAACACCGGUGGCGAAGGCGGGUCUCUGGGCAACAACUGACGCUGAGGAGCGAAAGCGUGGGGAGCGAACAGGAUUAGAUACCCUGGUAGUCCACGCCGUAAACGUUGGGCGCUAGGUGUGGGGGCCAUUCCACGGUCUCCGUGCCGCAGCUAACGCAUUAAGCGCCCCGCCUGGGGAGUACGGCCGCAAGGC